rnacentral:tRNA from 1 species
ACAAAAUAGUUAAUUUAUAAUAUUGGGUUGUCGUCCUAAAGUUGCCUUACUUGGGCUUUUGUUU